rnacentral:rRNA from 1 species
CAAUAGCGUAUAUUUAAGUUACUGCAGUUAAAAAGCUCGUAGUUGGAUUUCGGGUGGGAAUGGCCGGUCCGCCGUUUCGGUGUGCACUUGCUACGCCCACCUUGCUGCCGGGGACGUGCUCUUGAGUUCACGCUCGGGACACGGAGUCGGCGAGGUUACUUUGAGUAAAUUAGAGUGUUCAAAGCAGGCCUACGCUCUGAAUACAUUAGCAUGGAAUAACACGAUAGGACUCUGGCCUAUCUUGUUGGUCUGUAGGACCGGAGUAAUGAUUAAGAGGGACAGUCGGGGGCAUUCGUAUUUCAUUGUCAGAGGUGAAAUUCUUGGAUUUAUGAAAGACGAACUACUGCGAAAGCAUUUGCCAAGGAUGUUUUCAUUAA